CACGGCCGUUCUUAGUUCGUGAAGUGAUUUGUCCGGUUAAUUCCGAUAACGAAUGAGACUCAAAUAUGGUAAAAAGAUGCUUUCAGGAUUAUGGUUUUGAAGCUUCUACGGCCUUCGUUUACGAGCACACUAAAAUGUGUUUAUAAAGGUGGAGCCGUAUCUCUCUGUGGGUCUGUCUUUUUUAUGGGACACUAGCUUCUUAAAGAGACAAAUUGCGUCUAGCAAUAAUGAGAUUGAGCAGUAACAGGUCUGUGG
rnacentral:ncRNA from 1 species